GUGGAUUCAAGAAAAAGCUCUCGACCUCGUUGAGUUCACCGGUUCUGUUACCCAAGCGAUUCCCGGUCCGAGAGUGGGUCCCACUUCGUUGCCGUGGAUUCUCGCCGUUCCUCUUGGUUAUGCUGGUCUCACUUUCGUUAUCGCGUUUGUUAAAACCGUUAGGAAAUUCAGUUCUCCCAAAGCACAACGCAGGAAAUUGGUUGGUAAAAAUGCGUUGUUGUGUAAGUCUGUUGAUGAUUUGUUACAAAGAGGACGAGAUGAAGUUAAGGUUGAUGAUCUCAAAGGAAUCGAAAAUAAGGUUUUGUCUUGGAAGAAAUUUUGCGCAAAUACAUCCGAUAUGCUCUGAACGAGAAACC